rnacentral:misc_RNA from 1 species
AAGAUCGGUUGCUGAUUCUCGAUGGUCUCGGUAGUUUUCAACCCACUUGCUUUACUGUGCAAACUUCAAUUCAUACUUGAUAUCGAACAAACGAACAAACCGAGCUAAUUAUCGUUGAUUUCUUCUUCAUCUGGUAAUAUUACAGUUAGUAGGGAAAACUUAACCCGAAGGGAGAUCCGCCCCUUCUCCACCAUGAGUCUUGCCCCAGAAACAACCCAAUACCCAGGAGUCUCUUGGGGUCCUCUCUUCAUUUCAGUAGUAUCUACAAAUUUCAGAAGCUUAGGGGCCUGUACAGGUACUGGUGGACCUCCAGGAUACACAGCAGAGUUUAUAUUCACAUCAGCGGGUUUUGGAGGUGGUUUCAUAGCUGUUGAGAAAUGAUGACUGAUUAGUGUUGAUAUGAGUCCAGACUUGGCUGCUAAGCCAGGUGAACCUUCCCACUCUGGCUGCCUUACAACCGUUGCUCCCAAAACCGAAGAGA